GACAAGAAUGACAGUGUAGGUAUGUUCUGUAUUACAUUUUCAUUCCUUUGUGGUUAGCAUACCAUAACUGUUGAUCUUAUGCAGACAUGUACAAAGAUAUCUGUUCUGUGAAUGGUGUCCUUAUUGUGAAAUCUUAGUAUAAAAUGGUAUCUUUGGUAAUUUGUUAAAGAUUUUUCAGAACCAUAGAAGGAAUUGCUAUGUAUAGUUGAGGAAAUGCAUCUGUAGAUAAUUAUAUUCUAUAUAUUAAUCAAUAAGCAUUUCACAGCAUAACUAGAAGUUUUAUUGUUGAUGAUGCUUGAAAUAUUAUUUUAUUCAUACAGUAACAACAGAUAAAUAUUAAUUGGAAUAAAAUUCCGCUGCAUUUAUAUUUACUACAGACAAUACUGAUGCACUGUACAGCAACUUGUUAACAAAACAUUGCAAUAUCCAUUUAUCUAAAUGAUUAUCAAAUUGAAUUGUUUUUACUAAAACAACAAGUUUGCUUUAUACUCAUUAUAUUAAAACAAUAAAACUCUUUAAUAGC
rnacentral:sRNA from 1 species